UGACUGUGACUGCUUGAUUCCCUCUGACUCUGGUCUAACUUGAGUGUCACACAGCACAGAGUGCGGCGGUUGGUGGGGCCCUCCAUUCCCCAGUGUGGUUGACGCUGGGAGUUCACUUUAGAUGGUGGUGUGGUUUGUGGUGGCACAUUGUUAAUUGUGUGGUGUUUUAUUUGAAAUGUGUUGAGUUUUGGUUUCUUUGAAUAUGUAGUAUACUCCCAGUGUCCCAGCAGUGAGUGGUUGGUGUCCCAACCGUAGUACGACUGUCUGUCCUCUUCUUCUUCUUUGCUGGUGUUUUUAGAGUUUUAGUCAUAAUCAAAUAAAUGACAUGCGUAUGACCCACACUGGCUGUUGUGGCAUCUUUA